AGUGAACGCUGGCGGUAGGCCUAACACAUGCAAGUCGAACGGCAGCACAGUAAGAGCUUGCUCUUACGGGUGGCGAGUGGCGGACGGGUGAGGAAUACAUCGGAAUCUACUUUUUCGUGGGGGAUAACGUAGGGAAACUUACGCUAAUACCGCAUACGACCUACGGGUGAGAGCAGGGGAUAUUCGGACCUUGCGCGAUUGAAUGAGCCGCUGUCGGAUUAGCUAGUUGGCGGGGUAAAGGCCCACCAAGGCGACGAUCCGUAGCUGGUCUGAGAGGAUGAUCAGCCACACUGGAACUGAGACACGGUCCAGACUCCUACGGGAGGCAGCAGUGGGGAAUAUUGGACAAUGGGCGCAAGCCUGAUCCAGCCAUACCGCGUGGGUGAAGAAGGCCUUCGGGUUGUAAAGCCCUUUUGUUGGGAAAGAAAAGCAGCAGGUUAAUACCCCGCUGUUCUGACGGUACCCAAAGAAUAAGCACCGGCUAACUUCGUG
rnacentral:rRNA from 1 species